GCACGCCCUCCCCCCCCACGCCGGCCUCUUAAAAAUACAUCCCCAACUAAACCAGUUGCAUUUCUCAUGCUUGGAUUUUUCAUCUUUUAAUAAGCAGAUCAAUUGUUACUUUUUAAAACAGCGUGAAAUUCCUUCACACCCAUGUAAAUCUCCCGGUUUUAACUGCAGAUCCAGGGAUGAGGCUGGGGAUGAAACUCGAAUGGGAAAGCCUGAGACGCUUGUGCCUGCAAUGAAAUUAUAAAUCCACAUCCUGGAGCAAACGAGCAGUAGGAGGCAGCCAGAAAUCUCCAUCAGCAGAAGCGCUGGGCUGCAGCAAGGGAUGGAAGUCGCAAGUGGAACCGACAAGACACCCAAGCCAGGAGAGCUGUUGGCAUUUCUCCUGGCAACAUCCCGCACGAAUGGAGCCAAUUGAGGCAAGAUCACCUCACGGGGGGGGCCUGUGUCACUAAAUCAGCCCAGGAUUCAGCACCGUGCCCUGCUCCUCACCCCUGAUUUCUUCCCUCAGUUUCCCCAUCUGUAAAAUGGAGGACACGCUGCCAAACCCUGCUUGAAAACCACUGUCAGAUGCAGAAAAUGUGAGUGAAUUGCUCAGGUGAUGCUCGUCGGCUGUCGUGCAACAGAUCAAGGGCACAGGACAAUCUGCUUCAGGAACCCACGUCCCCUGAGCCCUGUGACCAGCAGGGCUAAUGCCAGCCCAGACUGAGCAGCGAUGAAUGGAAAAAAGCAACAAUUCUGCCCUGGAAGGAAGUCAGUCCUAACAAGGGAAUUGGCCUCUCUCAUCCUCAAAGCCUAAUUAACCAAAUCGUCUGCAUUUGUGGGAGAGGAGAGGGGCAAGUGGGAAGCUCCAGGAGGAAUGGCUGAUGAGGAGCCGAGGCUGGCUGUGCCAGACACUUUGCCGUUUAAAUAUCCCCAGUCUCAGAUGCCACAACAGACCCAGAUGUCAGCGCGGCCCCGGACCUGCAGAACAGCGCAUGGGAGAAU
rnacentral:lncRNA from 1 species